rnacentral:rRNA from 1 species
AACGUAGGAGACAAACGUUAUCCGGAGUUACUGGGCGUAAAGGGCGUGUAGGUGGUUACGUAAGUCUGGCGUGAAAUAUCUCGGCUUAACCGAGGCAGGUCGUCGGAUACUGCGAGACUAGAGGACGGUAGAGGCAGGCGGAAUUCCGGGUGUAGCGGUGGAAUGCGUAGAGAUCCGGAAGAACACCGGUGGCGAAGGCGGCCUGCUGGGCAGUGGCUGACACUGAGGCGCGACAGCGUGGGGAGCAAACAGG